CCUACGGGAGGCAGCAGUGGGGAAUAUUGCACAAUGGGGGAAACCCUGAUGCAGCGACGCCGCGUGAGUGAAGAAGUAUCUCGGUACGUAAAGCUCUAUCAGCAGGGAAGAAAAUGACGGUACCUGACUAAGAAGCCCCGGCUAACUACGUGCCAGCAGCCUCGGGAAUACUUAGGGGGCAAGCGUUAUCCGGAUGUACUGGGUGUAAAGGGAGCGUAGACGGCAGCACAAGUCUGGAGUGAAAUCCCGGGGCUUAACCCCGGAACUGCUUUGGAAACUGUGCGGCUGGAGUGCAGGAGGGGGAAGCGGAAUUCCUAGUGUAGCGGUGAAAUGCGUAGAUAUUAGGAGGAACACCGGUGGCGAAGGCGGCUUACUGGACUGUAACUGACGUUGAGGCUCGAAAGCGUGGGGAGCAAACAGGAUUAGAUACCCGAGUAGUC
rnacentral:rRNA from 1 species